UUCCAGACUCCUACGGGAGGCAGCAGUGAGGAAUAUUGGUCAAUGGGCGGAAGCCUGAACCAGCCAAGUCGCGUGAGGGACUAAGGCCCUGCGGGUCGUAAACCUCUUUUGCCGGGGAGCAGUGGUCCGGACGCGUCCGGACCGGGAGAGUACCCGGAGAAAAAGCAUCGGCUAACUCCGUGCCAGCAGCCGCGGUAAUACGGAGGAUGCGAGCGUUAUCCGGAUUUAUUGGGUUUAAAGGGUGCGUAGGCGGGCAUUUAAGCCGGCGGUCAAAUCGCGGGGCUCAACCCCGCCCAGCCGUCGGAACUGGCAGUCUCGAGUUGGAGAGAAGUAUGCGGAAUGCGCGGUGUAGCGGUGAAAUGCAUAGAUAUCGCGCAGAACUCCGAUUGCGAAGGCAGCAUGCCGGCUCCACACUGACGCUGAGGCACGAAAGCGUGGGUAUCGAACAGGAUUAGAUACCCCCGUA
rnacentral:rRNA from 1 species